rnacentral:rRNA from 1 species
CCUACGGGUGGCAGCAGUGGGGAAUAUUGGACAAUGGGGGCAACCCUGAUCCAGCCAUGCCGCGUGUGUGAAGAAGGCCCUCGGGUUGUAAAGCACUUUCAGUGAGGAAGAACGCCUGGUGGUUAAUACCCAUCAGGAAAGACAUCACUCACAGAAGAAGCACCGGCUAACUCCGUGCCAGCAGCCGCGGUAAUACGGAGGGUGCGAGCGUUAAUCGGAAUUACUGGGCGUAAAGCGCGCGUAGGUGGCUUGAUAAGCCGGUUGUGAAAGCCCCGGGCUCAACCUGGGAACGGCAUCCGGAACUGUCAAGCUAGAGUGCAGGAGAGGAAGGUAGAAUUCCCGGUGUAGCGGUGAAAUGCGUAGAGAUCGGGAGGAAUACCAGUGGCGAAGGCGGCCUUCUGGACUGACACUGACGCUGAGGUGCGAAAGCGUGGGUAGCAAACAGGAUUAGAUACCCCUGUAGUC